GGAUAACCUACCCUUAGGACUGGGAUAACCCUGGGAAACUGGGGCUAAUACCGGAUAGGCAAUUUUUCCUGGAAUGGUUUUUUGUUUAAAUGUUUUUUCGCCUAAGGAUGGGUCUGCGGCCGAUUAGGUAGUUGGUUAAGUAAUGGCUUACCAAGCCGUUGAUCGGUACGGGUUGUGAGAGCAAGAGCCCGGAGAUGGAACCUGAGACAAGGUUCCAGGCCCUACGGGGUGCAGCAGGCGCGAAACCUCCGCAAUGUGAGAAAUCGCGACGGGGGGAUCCCAAGUGCCAUUCUUAACGGGAUGGCUUUUCAUUAGUGUAAAGAGCUUUUGGAAUAAGAGCUGGGCAAGACCGGUGCCAGCCGCCGCGGUAACACCGGCAGCUCUAGUGGUAACAAUUUUUAUUGGGCCUAAAGCGUCCGUAGCCGGUUUAAUAAGUCUCUGGUGAAAUCCUGUAGCUUAACUGUGGGAAUUGCUGGAGAUACUAUUAGACUUGAGACCGGGAGAGGUUAGAGGUACUCCCAGGGUAGAGGUGAAAUUCUGUAAUCCUGGGAGGACCGCCUGUUGCGAAGGCGUCUAACUGGAACGGUUCUGACGGUGAGGGACGAAAGUUAGGGGCGCGAACCGGAUUAGAUACCCGGGUAGUCCUAACUGUAAACGAUGCGGACUUGGUGUUGGGGUGGCUUUGAGCUGCUCCAGUGCCGAAGGGAAGCUGUUAAGUCCGCCGCCUGGGAAGUACGGUCGCAAGACUGAAACUUAA
rnacentral:rRNA from 1 species